UAAAAUCUAAAAACAAAGACCACGAAGAACUAACACCUCCCUAGCCCAAACCCCACGAACCCAAUCCUCCCUAAACCAAGCCCCUCGACUCCGACUGAACUCAGAUAGACCAUCGGCUCACAUCGUGAACCCAGGAAGCGGCAGUGAGCCAGUGACGGCAGCGGCCACACCGAUAGUGAGCUGCUCUUCUCUUUCUCUUUUCGAAUUUGGCUUGUGUAAUCUUAAUUCCUACUUCCCAACAUUAAAUCGUGGCAUCGCACCGAUACAACAAUAAAUUAAAACCAUUGGAAAAACGAAAUUGAAAAAUAUUUACUUCAUUUCGUGGCCACUGCCAGUGAGGUGUGUAAAUAUUCAGUCAUAUUUGUGUUGAUUUUUUCAAUGACAUUUUGGGUUGUGGUUUUGAAGUUUUUCAUGUUGGCUGUUAAGAUUGAAUUCCUAUUAUUUGGGAAGAUGCUAUUUGUUUAUAUGGGGGGUAAAUGAUCUGAAAUUUAGAACUUUCUGUGAUAGUUUAUAGUUAUGCAUAGUAGGUGUUUGUCAAAAUGUUUGUGCCAGUCUGUAGUGAUAACUGUACAGUCAAAGCAAUAUUAUUUGCUUUGGUUUUAUUGCAAAAUUAACUUGAAGAAAGAAAGAAAAUUGAGUUUAAUUUUAUCUUCACUGCUAAAUUAUAUAUUCGAAACAUCAUAAAUCCAAAAAAAAAAAAAAAAAAUUGAACUAGAAUAAUUAUUAUUUGUGCAUAAUAUUGGUACCCUUUUUAUAGCUCCAGUUUACAACAAGUCUUGUAAACUACAGGAAUAAAGUUAAGGGAUCGACUAUUAUGCACUUGGUAAAUUAAUAGUCUUAGAGUCUCAGGAUCACAUUAUUUAUUCAUUGCAUUCUAACUACAUACCAACACUUUUCUUAUUGAAAUUUCUGUUGGCAUUGCAUGGAAAAUGUAGACGACCCCUACUUUAAGUCUUGCUUCAUUUUUUUAUUGCCAAAGUAUUUUUGUUUCAUCACAGUUAGACAAUGUAUCUUCCACCCAAAGGAAGACAUUUGGUUUAGCCCUUUCAAUCAUUCUCACAUUGAGACUGCCUCAAGUCCUUGAUAAGCUUGAUCAGAUUUUGAGUGUCUGUAUGCACAACUGUAAUAUUGAGUGAAAACAAUGACUUAUCUGAGGAAGAGUCCAGUGGCGUAAAUAUGCAUCCAGCAGAACCUUCAAACAUGUGCUGCCCUUCAUGGAGAAUCUUUUAAUUCUGCCAUUAGUAAAA